rnacentral:rRNA from 1 species
AGAGUUUGAUCCUGGCUCAGAACGAACGCUGGCGGCAUGCCUAAUACAUGCAAGUCGAACGAGAUCUUCGGAUCUAGUGGCGCACGGGUGCGUAACGCGUGGGAAUCUACCCUUGGGUUCGGGAUAACUUCGGGGAACUGAAGCUAAUACCGGAUGAUGUCGAAAGACCAAAGAUUUAUCGCCCAGGGAUGAGCCCGCGUAGGAUUAGCUAGUUGGUGGGGGUAAAGGCUCACCAAGGCAACGAUCCUUUAGCUGGGUCUGAGAGGAUGGAUCAACCCCCACUGGGGACUGAGAACACGGGCCACACUUCCACCGGGAAGGCCAGCAAUAAGGAAAAUUGGAACAAGGGGGGCAACCCUGAACCCCCCAUGGCCCCUGAAUGAAUAAAGCCUUAAGGGGUGUUAAACUUCUUUUUACCCAAAUUAAAAUGGACGGAUUCGGGAAAAAAAACUCCCCGCUAAAUUCCGUGGCCACCACCCCCCGGUAAUAACGGAAGGGACUUACGGUUUUUUCGAAAUAUACUGGGGCGUUAAACCCCCCUAAGCGGGGAUUUAAAUCCGAAAGGGAAAAACCCGGGGGGUCAACCCCCGAAAAUGCCCUUUGAAAACGGGAUUUGUUGAAACCUUGGAGAGGCGAGUGGGGAUUCCCAGUGUUGAAGGUGAAAUCCUCACAUAUUUUUGAAAAAAAACCAAUUGGCGAAAGCGGGCUCGCUUGGAACAAAUAUUUGACGCCUUAAGUGCGAAAACGUGGGGGAGCGACCCCGGAGUGGAUAACCUUGGUGAGGUCCCACCGCCUAUAAACGAUGAUAAUCUAGGCUGCCCGGGGCAACAUGGUGUUUCGGGUGGCGCAGCUAACGCCAUUAAGUUUAUCCCGCCGGGGGGAUUACGGUCGCAAGAUUAAAACCUCAAGGGAAUUGAGGGGGGGCCUGCCACAAGCGGGGGGAGCAUGUGGUUUUAAUUGGAAGCAACGCGCAGAACCUUACCCAGCGUUUGGACCUCCUUCAUCGGGAUUUCCAGGAGAGGGAUUUCUUCCAUUUCGGCGGGAUGAGUGACAGUUGCUGCAUGGCGGUCGUCAGCUCGUUGUCGUGGAGAUGUUGGGUUAAGUCCCGGCAAACGAGGCGCAACCCUCGCCUUUUAGUUGCCAGGCAUUUGGUUUGGGUACUCUAAAGGAACCGCCGGUGAUAAGCCCGGAGGGAAGGUGGGGAUGACGUCAAGUCCUCAUGGCCCUUACGCGCUGGGCUACACACGUGCUACAAUGGCGACUACAGUGGGCUGCAACCGUGCGAGCGGUAGCUAAUCUCCAAAAGUCGUCUCAGUUCGGAUUGUUCUCUGCAACUCGAGAGCAUGAAGGCGGAAUCGCUAGUAAUCGCGGAUCAGCAUGCCGCGGUGAAUACGUUCCCAGGCCUUGUACACACCGCCCGUCACACCAUGGGAUUUGGAUUCACCCGAAGGCACUGCGCUAACUUGGCAACAAGAGGCAGGUGACCACGGUGGGUUUAGAGACUGGGGUGAAGUCGUAACAAGGUAACC